rnacentral:ncRNA from 1 species
AAACAUUUAAUGGCAACAUUAAGUGGUCUGAUCAGAAGUCAGCAGAUUCCAUAGUACUGUUUUUUUUUUUUACAGGAAGGG